rnacentral:rRNA from 1 species
CCAGACUCCUACGGGAGGCAGCAGUGGGGAAUAUUGGGCAAUGGGCGCAAGCCUGACCCAGCAACGCCGCGUGAAGGAAGAAGGCUUUCGGGUUGUAAACUUCUUUUCUCAGGGACGAAGCAAGUGACGGUACCUGAGGAAUAAGCCACGGCUAACUACGUGCCAGCAGCCGCGGUAAUACGUAGGUGGCAAGCGUUAUCCGGAUUUACUGGGUGUAAAGGGCGUGUAGGCGGGAAAGCAAGUCAGAUGUGAAAACCAUGGGCUCAACCUGUGGCCUGCAUUUGAAACUGUUUUUCUUGAGUACUGGAGAGGCAGACGGAAUUCCUAGUGUAGCGGUGAAAUGCGUAGAUAUUAGGAGGAACACCAGUGGCGAAGGCGGCCUGCUGGAUGAUGACUGACGUUGAGGCUCGAAAGCGUGGGGAGCAAACAGGAUUAGAUACCCGGGUACC